AUGUUGUCUAGGCAGGGGUGGCGAUUACUCGAGGCUCCGGAUACACUAUGUGCGCAAGUACUGAAGGCUCGCUACUACCCAAACUGUUCUCUUCUUGAGGCGACAGAAAGAGAGGGUAUUUCUUAUACCUGGAGAAGCAUACUGAAGGGGGUUAAUCUGCUCAAGGAAGGAAUUAUUUGGCGGGUGGGGUCGGGUGAUAACAUCAAAGUGUGGGAGGAUCCGUGGAUUCCUCGAGGAGAUACUAGAAAGCCAACAUCAGUAAGAGGGAACACAGUUAUCACACAUGUUUCUGAACCAAUGGACCCGGUUAGGGAAACCUGGGACGAGCAGUUAGUAAGGGACCUUUUCAAUGAAGAUGAUGUAUCGCAUAUCCUCGCUAUCUCGGUCCGACCGGAUAUGGACGAUUUUGUAGCAUGGCACUAUGACCCCAAAGGAAAAUUCUCUGUAAAAGGGGCGUAUCAUGUCGGUAUCCGGAUAAGAGAUGCAAGAAAUGGCAAUGAUGCAGGCCCAUCAUUGAGUCAGGGAAGGGGAGAGGAUAAAUGGCAAAGAUUGUGGAACCUGGAGAUGCCAGGGAAGGUGCGUAUUUUUUUGUGGAGGUUUGCGCAUAAUAGCUUGCCCCUCCGUAUGAAUAUUAAACGAAAAAGGGUGGACUUGGAUACAAGAUGCCCACUGUGUGGCCGGCUGGAUGAGGAUGGUGGUCAUCUGUUCAUAAAAUGCAAAGCUGUCAAGCAAGUUUGGAGAGGAUUGGAGCUAGAGGAUACAAGAAGUGCUCUGUUGGAGUGCACUGGGCCAGGAAAGGUGUUUGAUCACAUAUGGAGCUUGGAUAAUAGUAAGCGAGAUACUUCCCUUAUCCUGUUGUGGGAAUGGUGGUCAGUGAGAAACAAGGUAAAUGCAGGAGAGACGAUGAGGUGCACUGACAAUAUCUGCUAUACUAUCCGACAGUAUCUUCAUGAAUUCAGUAAAAGUGUUAUGAAGCCUGUACAAGUGCCUCCCCAGGACAAGGUUACGUGGAAGCGACCCCCACCUGAUGUCGUUAAAGUCAAUUUUGAUGCAUCCUAUCAUGCGGACACAGGGAGAGGAGCAUGGGGGUGUGUUGCUCGUACUGACCAAGGUGAAUUUCUGGCAGCAAAGGCCGGCACACUUGAGCAUCUUACAGGGCCUCUACAUGCAGAAGCUUUGGCAUGUGUGCUAACUACUGAAGCAAGUGCGGAACUGGGCAUCCACAGGGUGAUUCUUGAGUCUGAUUCCCAAGUGCUUGUCCAUGCACUCAAUUCUGGUGAAUAUGAACGAGCGCUGAUCGGUGUCCUCCUACGGGAGACGCGAAGUAUCUGCCAUACGAACUUUGAAUCAUUUAGUUUCAGUUUCUGUAACCGAAAUUGUAAUAAGGUAGCACAUGAGUUAGCUGCUUUUGGCUUCAGAUCGGGAGCUGCUGAUCUGUCGUGGAUCGAGUAUGCCCCAGACUUUGUUUCUGUUCUGGUCGCCAACGACAUUGCUGAGCCAGUUUAG
rnacentral:rRNA from 1 species